AAGGAUAAUAGUUAAAUUAACAUUUAAUUUGCAAUUAAAAAAUACUGAUUUCAGUUUAUCUU
rnacentral:tRNA from 1 species